AGGACGAACGCUGGCGGCGUGCUUAACACAUGCAAGUCGAGCGGAAAGGCCACUUCGGUGGUACUCGAGCGGCGAACGGGUGAGUAACACGUGAGUAAUCUGCCCUCCACUUUGGGAUAGCCACCGGAAACGGUGAUUAGUACCGGAUAUGACCUCGGCCCGCAUGGGUUGUGGUGGAAAGUUUUUCGGUGGGGGAUGUGCUCGCGGCCUAUCAGCUUGAUGGUGGGGUAAUGGCCUACCAUGGCUUCGACGGGUAGCCGGCCUGAGAGGGUGACCGGCCACACUGGGACUGAGACACGGCCCAGACUCCUACGGGAGGCAGCAGUGGGGAAUAUUGGACAAUGGGCGGAAGCCUGAUCCAGCAACGCCGCGUGAGGGAUGGACGGCCUUGGUUGUAAACCUCUUUCAGCACAGACGAAGCGAAAGUGACGGAUGUGCAGAAGAAGCACCGGCCAACGUACGUGCCAGCAGCCGGACGUAAUCCGUAGACGGACGGCGUAGGCGAACGGCG
rnacentral:rRNA from 1 species